rnacentral:rRNA from 1 species
GAUGAACGCUGGCGGCGUGCCUAAUACAUGCAAGUCGAGCGAACAGACGAGGAGCUUGCUCCUCUGACGUUAGCGGCGGACGGGUGAGUAACACGUGGAUAACCUACCUAUAAGACUGGGAUAACUUCGGGAAACCGGAGCUAAUACCGGAUAAUAUAUUGAACCGCAUGGUUCAAUAGUGAAAGACGGUUUUGCUGUCACUUAUAGAUGGAUCCGCGCCGCAUUAGCUAGUUGGUAAGGUAACGGCUUACCAAGGCAACGAUGCGUAGCCGACCUGAGAGGGUGAUCGGCCACACUGAAACUGAGACACGGUCCAGACUCCUACGGGAGGCAGCAGUGGGGAAUCUUCCGCAAUGGGCGAAAGCCUGACGGAGCAACGCCGCGUGAGUGAUGAAGGUCUUCGGAUCGUAAAACUCUGUUAGUAGGGAAGAACAAAUGUGUAAGUAACUAUGCACGUCUUGACGGUACCUAAUCAGAAAGCCACGGCUAACUACGUG